GAACAAAAAAAGUGCUGAUGAGGAACGGCGCAACAUACAGAAUGUCAAACAGAACAUUGACAAGAACAAACAGACAAAAAGCUCAAAUGUAUUGGCAUCACUGACAUAGAUACAUUUUAAAACGUAGAAAUAAAAUAUAUAACAUAAA
rnacentral:sRNA from 1 species